rnacentral:rRNA from 1 species
UUUUUGUUGCCCACCCAGCUGCGGUUAGACGGGGUGGGAAUUAAAAAUUUUCGGGUGGUAGUUAUAAAAAGAAUUUUUUCAUUUUUUUGUGUGGUUUGUUUGGAGGUGAAAUUUUGAGAUUAAGUUGUAUAAAUUCUUGUUUUAUUUUGAUUUAGAGGCUAUGAAAAUUUAGGUUUAAACUAGGAUUAGAUACCCUAUUAUACUAAAUACUUAAUUAAAUACGCUUGAGUAGUAGUAGUUAUAUUCUUGAAAUUUAGAGGAUUUGGCGGCACUCAAGUCUGGUUAGAGGAACCUGCUUCGUGAACGAUAUGCCACGAAUUAUCUUACUUUAUUUAGUUUAUCAGUUUGUAUACCUCCAUUAUAUAAGUAUUAUUUUUAAGUAUAUAUUAUAAUAAUUUAAUUUUAAUGUAUUAGGUCAAGGUGCAGCUUAUAGUAAAGUGUUUGUGGGUUACAUUGUAUUUUAUAACUUCGGAUAUUAAUUUGAAAUGAUUUUUUGAAGUUGGAUUUAAUAGUAAGUCUUUUUUAAUAAGUUAGGCUGAUAGUAAGCUCUAGGGUGGGUACAAAG